AUUGGACGCUGGCGGCAGGCCUAACACAUGCAAGUCGAGCGGAUGAAGGGAGCUUGCUCCUGGAUUCAGCGGCGGACGGGUGAGUAAUGCCUAGGAAUCUGCCUGGUAGUGGGGGAUAACGUCCGGAAACGGGCGCUAAUACCGCAUACGUCCUGAGGGAGAAAGUGGGGGAUCUUCGGACCUCACGCUAUCAGAUGAGCCUAGGUCGGAUUAGCUAGUUGGUGGGGUAAAGGCCUACCAAGGCGACGAUCCGUAACUGGUCUGAGAGGAUGAUCAGUCACACUGGAACUGAGACACGGUCCAGACUCCUACGGGAGGCAGCAGUGGGGAAUAUUGGACAAUGGGCGAAAGCCUGAUCCAGCCAUGCCGCGUGUGUGAAGAAGGUCUUCGGAUUGUAAAGCACUUUAAGUUGGGAGGAAGGGCAGUAAGUUAAUACCUCGCUGUUUUGACGUUACCAACAGAAUAAGCACCGGCUAACUUCGUG
rnacentral:rRNA from 1 species